rnacentral:rRNA from 1 species
UGAGGAAUAUUGCGCAAUGGGGGCAACCCUGACGCAGCAACGCCGCGUGAGUGAGGAAGGUUUUCGGACCGUAAAGCUCUGUCGAGCGGGAAGAAAUGCAUGGUGGCUAAUAUCCAUCAUGCUUGACGGUACCGCUAAAGGAAGCACCGGCUAACUCCGUGCCAGCAGCCGCGGUAAUACGGGGGGUGCGAGCGUUGUUCGGAAUUAUUGGGCGUAAAGAGCGUGUAGGCGGCCGAAUAAGUCAGAUGUGAAAUCCCUGGGCUUAACCCAGGACGUGCAUUUGAAACUAUUCGGCUGGAGUAGGGGAAAGGAAAGUGGAAUUCCUGGUGUAGAGGUGAAAUUCGUAGAUAUCAGGAGGAACACCGGUGGCGAAGGCGACUUUCUGGCCCUAUACUGACGCUGAGACGCGAGAGCGUGGGUAGCAAGCAG